UGAGCAACGUGAGGAAUGGGAGAAACAGCUAACUGCAAGAUAAAUAGUGUAGAAAGAGCAGAGCAGGACAGGCAGCACUACAAGAAACACCUGGAAGAGCAGAAGAGGUUGGAGGAGCAGAGGCUAAAGGAGGAACAGAGGAAGGAUGUCCUGGAGGAGAAGUGGAGACAGAGACUUGAGGAGGAGAAAGAAUGUCAUGGGGCUGUUGUACAGCAUCCAACGGGAAGGAGCCAGAAGCCAAAACAAAAGUGUAAUCUGUGGUCUUGGGGAAAAACUCUCCACGGUAGCCCUAUGAUUCACAGUGCAGGUGGUUUUCUUGAAUCUUCAGUCUCCUCUUUCAAUUUAGCA
rnacentral:lncRNA from 1 species